GACCUCAAAUCAGGUAGGACUACCCGCUGAACUUAAGCAUAUCAAUAAGCGGAGGAAAAGAAACUAACAAGGAUUCCCCUAGUAACUGCGAGUGAAGCGGGAAAAGCUCAAAUUUAAAAUCUGGCGGUCUCUGACUGUCCGAGUUGUAAUCUAGAGAAGUGUUAUCCGCGCUGGACCGUGUACAAGUCUCCUGGAAUGGAGCGUCGUAGAGGGUGAGAAUCCCGUCUUUGACACGGACUGCCAGGGCUUUGUGAUGCGCUCUCGAAGAGUCGAGUUGUUUGGGAAUGCAGCUCAAAAUGGGUGGUAAAUUCCAUCUAAAGCUAAAUAUUGGCGAGAGACCGAUAGCGAACAAGUACCGUGAGGGAAAGAUGAAAAGAACUUUGGAAAGAGAGUUAAACAGUACGUGAAAUUGCUGAAAGGGAAACGCUUGAAGUCAGUCGUGUUGGCCGGGGAUCAACCUUGCUUUUGCUGGGCGUACUUUCCGGUCAAUGGGUCAGCAUCAAUUUUGACUGUUGGAUAAAGUCUAGGGGAAUGUAGCAUCUUCGGAUGUGUUAUAGCCUUUGGUCGCAUACAACAAUUGGGAUUGAGGAACUCAGCACGCCGCAAAGGCCGGGUACUUGUACCACGUUCG
rnacentral:rRNA from 1 species